ACGCACUCUCUCCAUUUUUCCUCUUCUUUUCCUUUUCUUUCUUCUUUCUCUUUUCUUCUUCCUUCCCCUCCAGCAACCCACACGCCCGACACCCCUUCUUCUUCUUCUUUUCUUCUUCUUCCUCUUCGAUCACGCCCAGCCAGUAGCCCUUCCCCUUCCUUCUUCUUCUCUUUGUCCCUUUCCCCCUCACACACACACCCAGCCCAUGAGAGACCGAUUGAGAGAGAGAGAACCGGUGUAGGCUCGGGAACCCACCGAACCCAUGGAACCACACCUUGAGAAGGCCUGAUCUUGCAGUUGUCCGGCAGGUGGUGGUGCGGUUUUGGAGCGCGGUGGUCAGGCCAUCGUCUGGGCGUGGAGACAGCAGCUAGGGCCGUGAAUUCCAGCCCUGUUCCGGGUUGUGUCAUAAUUGGAGACUUCAAUGGGUUCUUCAAAGUAGAGUUGGAGUCGUGAUUCCAAUGCAGCCAGAUGAUGUCCUUUUGGCUGCAGGUACUCUGGUCGUAGUUGAUGGGGUUGUAGACGUGCAUUUGGGAUAUUAUGACUGGAGCUUGCCGCGACGGUCGUAAAUGCGGGACCAGGGGCGUCCUCAAUUUUAUAGGUUUUGUUAUGGCUUGUGACACAUGUGUCACUCGUUAUUGUAUAAAGCCAUUUCUGUUAUGUAUUUAUAUUGAGGAAAGAUUUAAACACAUAGAUGUUAAAUGGAUCUUGUUGUUAUUAAUUUAUGAUAGAUGUUUAAGAUGUGAUUUCCGCUA